CUCCACCCCCAUUUUGAGGGAGGUGCUUUGCUUUUAUGGUGUUGCCUCUACUCAGCUUGUCCCCAAUUUUUUUAGGAAGUGAUAGGGGUAGUCACUUUGAAUGAAAUUCUGGGGAUACAUCUAGGGCUCUCGGAGAUUAGAUAUUGCUAUAACUUUGUCCCAACCUCCAAGGAAAGGUUAAAGUUUUAUAUCAAGACCAGAAACAAGAAACACUAGUUAGUUUAGAUACUUCUUAACUCUGGCAAGGAUAAACAUAACAUUAUUGUGAUCGUUGAGGGAAACUGGAAGUUUCCCCUUGGUGCUGAUAGGGUAUGGCACAUACCCAAGGUCUUCAACCGACUAGAUCCUACAGUUUUUGCUUAUCACAGUGAGUGGGAAGGCCAGGUUAACAUCUUACUCCUUCAGCAAGCCUAGGAUUACAAAGGCCCUCUUGAGCAAAAAGGCCAAGGUCAGAUGGCUCAUAUCCUCCUCUGUUACAUGCCUUAUUACGGCACGAUUGUUGCCAUUGAAGGCAUCUCCCUUAAAGCCAAUGGUGGGAUUGAUUUCUACCUGCUUCCUCAUCUUGAAAAGGAGCUAAAGGUUGAAGAGGUCCCUGCUGUGGAGGAAGAACAAAUCCGAGACGAUCCAUCAGAUUCUGAAGCUACCAUCUCUGAAGUUAUGCCACCAAAGAAUUUUCUGGACAUCCUUGCUCAUUGGAAGCGUCAAAAAGAGGGUGUCAACAUCGACUACUUCUAAACAAUCACCAAUAAUAGUUGUUGAGGAUGCCCCUCUUGCCCUGCCAGUCCCGACCUUCCUCCUCCCAAAUAAGCUCUAGUAAACAUCCAGCCAAACAAUUGACUGAGGGACAUAAGAAGUACAGAGCUGACCUUUCUCUCACUCAUGUUGUUGUAUCUUCUCAAGAGAUAGCUUUUGUCAGUUCCCCUGUUAUUCUAACGCCUGCUUUGAAGGAUCGAUCGCUAGUCAGCACCGACUCUGCGAUAAGCGAUGCCGAACUAGCUGAUGCCGUGGUCCACAAUCUCAUCCUCCCAAUAGACGAUGGUCAACUACGUGAUCAGUCCGAUGUGGCCAUCUUCUCUCAUGCCUUGUACUUUUCUUUGUUGGGUUUUUAUUUUUCUCAUAAGGCCAUGCGCCGUCAACUCAUCCGAGUUGCUAAUAAGCUCAAAUCCUCCAAAUAAAGACAGGAAAAAAAGGUAAAGGAGAUAGAGCUAAGGCUAUCAGCUUCUGAAGAUAGGGUAGUGGAGGCAGAGAAAAAACUUCAAACGAUGGAUACCGUGUUGAAGUCCUCUGCCGAAGAGAUUGCCGCCUUAAAAGAAGAAAGACAGUAGCUUUCCACUGUUUUUGACACAUUCAAGGCCAGUCAUAAGGCAGCUAUUAAAGCUGCAAAUGAAAAGGGUAUAGUAAGGCCACAACCAGUUAUGGGCAGUAGUUCGUCAAGUUGGAGAACAUUCUUUUUUAGGAUGGAUAGAUGACUGCUCUUUGGGCUGCUAAGUUUCCAGAGGGACCCGAGCGGAUGAAUACCAUUCCCUAACCCCGUCCUGAGGCCUUGGAGAACCCAGAAAGUGCUGACACUGGCAGAGAUGAUCCCCUUACUACCAACUAAAGAAUUUAGCUUUUUCUCUUCCAUUUUGUUUUUAGUGUGAAAUUUUGAGAAUUGGUUUUUGUACAAAUGAUAUGGAUUUUUUUUUUCUUUAAUGUGAAUUCCUUUGCUUUUCUAUCCUCUAUCUAUCUGAAUGUUGUUGUAUCGUGGUA